AUUGAACGCUGGCGGCAGGCUUAACACAUGCAAGUCGAGCGAGCGGCGGACGGGUGAGUAAUGUCUGGUCAACUUCCUGAUGGAGGGGGAUAACUACUGGAAACGGUAGCUAAUACCGCAUACCCUCAGAUGUGCCCAUGUGGGAUUAGCUAGUGGGGGGGGUAAUGGCUCACAUAGGCGACGAUCCCUAGCUGGUCUGAGAGGAUGACCAGCCCAACUGGAACUGAGACACGGUCCAGACUCUUACGGGAGGCAGCAGUGGGGAAUAUUGCACAAUGGGCGAAAGCCGGAUGCAGCCAUGCCGCGUGUGUGAAGAAGGCCUUCGGGUUGUAAAGCACGUUCAGCGGGGAGGCGUUACUCGCAGAAGAAGCACCGGCUAACUCCGUGCCAGCAGCCGCGGUAAUUC
rnacentral:rRNA from 1 species